rnacentral:rRNA from 1 species
UACGUAGGGUGCAAGCGUUAAUCGGAAUUACUGGGCGUAAAGCGUGCGCAGGCGGUUAGGAAAGAGAGGUGUGAAAUCCCAGGGCUUAACAUUGGAACUGCACUUCUAACUACCGGGCUAGAGUACGUCAGAGGGGGGUAGAAUUCCACGUGUAGCAGUGAAAUGCGUAGAGAUCCGGAGGAACCCCAGAGGCGAAGGCGGCGCCCUGGCCCGACACUGACGCUCAGACACGACAGCAUGGGGAGCGAACGGG